GAUGAACGCUGGCGGCGUGCCUAAUACAUGCAAGUCGAGCGAACAGACGAGGAGCUUGCUCCUCUGACGUUAGCGGCGGACGGGUGAGUAACACGUGGAUAACCUACCUAUAAGACUGGGAUAACUUCGGGAAACCGGAGCUAAUACCGGAUAAUAUAUUGAACCGCAUGGUUCAAUAGUGAAAGACGGUUUUGCUGUCACUUAUAGAUGGAUCCGCGCCGCAUUAGCUAGUUGGUAAGGUAACGGCUUACCAAGGCAACGAUGCGUAGCCGACCUGAGAGGGGAAUCGGCAACACUGAAACUGAGACACGUUCAGACUCCUACGGGAGGCAGCAGUAGGGAAUCUUCCGCAAUGGGCGAAAGCCUGACGGAGCAACGCCGCGUGAGUGAUGAAGGUCUUCGGAUCGUAAAACUCUGUUAUUAGGGAAGAACAAAUGUGUAAGUAACUAUGCACGUCUUGACGGUACCUAAUCAGAAAGCCACGGCUAACUACGUG
rnacentral:rRNA from 1 species